GGGCAUUCGGAAGUCUUGCACUCUGGGCUACCUACAGAGAAUCUGAUUUCUCCCCACCGCCCAGGGGAAAGUCCCCGGACUCGAGGCAGAAAGUGUCGCUGGGUUAUUCCAGUGUCCGCUAGCGCCGCACCGCUAAUAAGCUAAGACGUUCGUACGAGCAGAGCUUGGUGUUCGCUGGUAGACUUUGUCAGCGUUACUAGUAAUGCAAGUGCGCACUUACUAACGCAUAAACAGAACGGGGCUCAUUCUCGGAAUGCA
rnacentral:RNase_MRP_RNA from 1 species